AUGUCAAUCGGAUUAACUAAUGCCCCUGAAUACUUCAUGAAUUUGAUGAACAAGGUAUUUAUGGAAUAUCUGGACAAGUUUGUCGUGGUGUUCAUCGAUGAUAUACUGAUUUUCUCCAAGAGUGAGGAAGAGUAUAAGGAACAUUUGCGUCUAGUUCUGGAGAAACUCCGAGAACAUCAGUUGUAUGCCAAAUUCAACAAAUGUGAAUUUUGGUUGAAGGAUGUCGGAUUCCUCGGACAUGUUAUUUCAGGCGAAGGAAUAGCAGUCGACCCCACCAAGGUUGUAUCAGUCACCGAUUGGCAGUCACCCACCUCAGUCAAGGAGAUCCGCAGUUUCCUCGGACUCGCGGGAUACUAUCGGAGGUUUAUUGAGAAUUUCUCCAAGAUUGACAAGCCCAUGACUGAGCUGUUGAAGAAGGACACCAAGUACAUUUGGACCAAGGAUUGUGAAGCCAGUUUCCAGGAAUUGAAGAAACAUUUGGUUACAGCCCCAGUGCUAAUUUUGCCGGACAUACACAAGGAUUACCAGGUGUAUUGUGACGCUUCUCGUCAGGGACUCGGAGGAGUAAUCAUGCAGGAAGGUAAGUUGUAG
rnacentral:rRNA from 1 species